CCUACGGGUGGCAGCAGUGAGGAAUAUUGGUCAAUGGGCGCGAGCCUGAACCAGCCAAGUCGCGUGAGGGAUGACGGUCCUAUGGAUUGUAAACCUCUUUUGUCGGGGAGUAAAAUACGCCACGCGUGGCGUUCCGAGAGUACCUGAUGACAAAGCAUCGGCUAACUCCGUGCCAGCAGCCGCGGUAAUACGGAGGAUGCGAGCGUUAUCCGGAUUUAUUGGGUUUAAAGGGUGCGCAGGCGGAUUUUUAAGUCAGUUGUGAAAGUGUGAUGCUCAACCGUAAAAUUGCGUUUGAUACUGGCAGUCGUGAGUGCAGUUGAGGGAGGCGGAAGUCGUGGGGUCGCGGUGAAAUGCUUAGAUAUGACGAAGAAGGCCGAUUGCGAAGGCAGCAUACUAAACUGCCACGUACAUUGAUGCUCGAAAGUGGGGGGAUCAAACAGGAUUAGAUACCCUGGUAGGC
rnacentral:rRNA from 1 species